AGGAUGAACGUAAGAGCCGGAAGUUGGUAGGAAGUGCUUCCGGACUGUCCUCUGUAUGAGGCAUGCAUGCAAUGGUUAUCGUACAUAUGAUUUCACCUCAGCGGGUGUUACCUGUACAAGAUAUGCACUACGGGGUCCUUCACCUUUCAAAAUGUGUGAGAGAAGAGCUCACAGGCUUCUACUCCUCAUGAAGAAAUUAUGGGCAGUUAAUGGGUGUUGGGAAGGAGGUGGUCAUCCCACCCCCACCCCACCCCUCGAGGAGCUCCAUCUGUUCUAGAAAGCAAACGGAAGACCAGAUUUUCAACACACACGAGCUCUAGACAUCUGUCCUGCAUUUUCAGUUGUCCUGUGUUUCCACCAACAUCCUUGACAAAUGGAUUUUCCAUCAACACAGCACUUCAUAGUAUGAACUCAACGCUAUUAACUAGUUAGUGAACGAACACAUAUUCUACAUCGAGAUGGAAAAGCUGAUUACUAAAAAAGGAAUUUGUCAGGUAAUGACAGAAGAUAAGCAAAUAUCAUGUUCCUGAACCUAAUAAAGAGAAAAAUGUUAUGAAAUCAUCAUUACAAAAA